rnacentral:rRNA from 1 species
UGGGGAAUAUUGGACAAUGGGGGCAACCCUGAUCCAGCAAUGCCGCGUGUGUGAAGAAGGUCUUCGGAUUGUAAAGCACUUUCGACGGGGACGAUGAUGACGGUACCCGUAGAAGAAGCCCCGGCUAACUUCGUGCCAGCAGCCGCGGUAAUACGAAGGGGGCUAGCGUUGCUCGGAAUGACUGGGCGUAAAGGGCGUGUAGGCGGUUUACACAGUCAGAUGUGAAAUCCCCGGGCUUAACCUGGGAGCUGCAUUUGAUACGUGUAGACUAGAGUGUGAGAGAGGGUUGUGGAAUUCCCAGUGUAGAGGUGAAAUUCGUAGAUAUUGGGAAGAACACCGGUGGCGAAGGCGGCAACCUGGCUCAUGACUGACGCUGAGGCGCGAAAGCGCGGGGAGCAAACAGGAUUAGAUACCCUGGUAGUCCACGCUGUAAACGAUGUGUGCUAGAUGUUGGGUAACUUUGUUAUUCAGUGUCGCAGUAACGCGUUAAGC